UCACGCUCCGCUGCGCGUCGCGUGAUAAAUGGUUUGCGCGAGCGAUAAAGUCGCGCAUUACGCUCUUAAUACAUAAAUAGCUAUUAUGGAUGUGAAUAGUAUCAUUACAUAUCAUUACAAUUACAUCUUGGAUAUAAGAGGCCGUGAAUAAAACUACUGAAGUUAUCACAAGCAUUUAUUUGUGGUUAUAAAAUGUAUAUGAAAUGAAAAUUGUGCUGAACAAAAAUAACAAAUUUAAGAUUUUAAUAUUGCCGUAUCUUUUGAUACCAAUCUAUUAUUAUAUUUUUCAAUUGACAUUGUUUUGUUGGGUGUUAGAGAGAGAAAAGCGCAUGCACCACGUUUUUCAAAGCCGACAGAGCCUGGCUGGUUCUUGACGUUGGGCAGCAUUGAACAAAAAGAGUUAAUCGCCAUGAAACGAGUUCCACCGAUUUCUUCCCGUUGUACGCAUCAGCUCACCUUUACUGCGCCACAAGUUCCAGGCAGAGCGCAGUUGGCUUUGUACCUGAUGUCUGAUACGUACCUAGGACUUGACCAACAGUACACACUGGACUUUGAUAUUUCAUGCUGAGAUCCUCAAAUAAGACUGAUGUAGAAGGCUCCCGUGAAGAAAAGUGUCAAUACUUUCCAUUAUUAUUAUUACUAUGCCUGGUAGACUUUCUUCGCUAGCCAACGCUGAAUAGUCUCCAAGAUAAAAUACAUCAGGCCAAAUGAAUAGGAAUUUUUGGUAUAGGGUUUAGGUUGUAAGAAAAAUGUGAUAACAGUCUUACAUAAUAUAACUAUUUUUAAAAAGA